rnacentral:rRNA from 1 species
CAGUCGCCGCGGUAAUACAGAGGGUGCGAGCGUUAAUCGGAUUUACUGGGCGUAAAGCGUGCGUAGGCGGCUAAUUGAGUCGGAUGUGAAAUCCCCGAGAUUAACUUGGGAAUUGCAUUCGAUACUGGUUAGCUAGAGUGUGGGAGAGGAUGGUAGAAUUCCAGGUGUAGCGGUGAAAUGCGUAGAGAUCUGGAGGAAUACCGAUGGCGAAGGCAGCCAUCUGGCCUAACACUGACGCUGAGGUACGAAAGCAUGGGGAGCAAACAGGAUUAGAUACCCCCGUAGUCCCUGUCUCUUAUAC